GUUCCACAGUUAAAUUCAAGUUUAAGUUCGUCUCUCCUUGACCUUCCAGACAUUGACGAAUUUCCCCUCUGCCCAGACUGCUUGCGAAUGAAGGGAGAAGACUGGGGAAGCAAAGAAAAUCGGGAAACAAGAUUGCGUGGCCUCCCCCAUUUCCUGAAACCAUCAAAAAAGAAGAUGAUUCUAGAAACUCCAGCACAUUUACGAGUCCCCCUCAUGGACUUUAUGCACGACAAGUGGAUACAAUCAAGAGUCAAGAUUCCGAAGGACAUUGUCAGUGAGGACAUUGAAGCAGGUUGGAUAUCUUUUGGAACUCUCCUGGCACAAGGAAACACCACCCACAACUCCAAAAUGGGAGUUCCCAAGCAUGGUUUUCCAGUUUUUUGAUACCACAUCUUCCCAUCAUUGCUACCUCUCACUCUCACAACAAAAUCACCCCCCCCCCCAUCAUCAUCAUCAUAACAAACAUCAUCAUCAUAAUAGUUAACAUUUUAUAGUACUUUAAGACUUACAAAGUGCUUAACAUAUAUUGCCUUAUUUUAUUUUUACAACAACCCUCCAAAGCAAGCACUAUUACUAUCCCCAUUUUAUAGAUGAAGAAUCUAAGACAGGCUGGGUUUAAAUUCAAGUUUGCAAAGUGUGUGAAGCAAGAUUCAACAUCAGGUCUUCCUAAGCACUCUUACCAUCUGACUGACUAUAAAAUGUCCUUGUCCUCAACCAUUCAUCUCUUCUCUUGACCAGUCUACUGCUAUAUUUCUUAUUUAGGGUCAUCCAAAGUCCUUCAGGGUCUGUUCCACUGUAUCCAGCCCACUCAGGCUGUCUCAUCUAGUCGCAUCCCCCCUGCCUCUAGAUCAUAAUUUCAUUGAUGUAGAGAAUUUGUAGUAAAAGCAUCUUCUCUCACAGUAGAUUAACCCGCUCUGCCAUUUGUAGACUACAGGAAUUUCCCAGGAUAAUGGAAAUGUCCAAUUACUUUCUAGAGUCACACCACCAGCAGGUUCAAAAGUGAGAUUAGAACCUAGAACUCCAAAGACAGUUGCACCACACUGUCUCUCUUCUCACCCAUAAAUAUCAAGAUUUCCCCUUCCGGGCCCUCUCUACCAUAGCUGGGCCCCAUCAGUUUCCUGUAAAAAGGGUUAGCAUCAUAGUAGGGACUUGUGUUUUUAUCUGGGGUGAAAUUCCUUUGGGGAAGAAGCAAAGUAGAAGAUCCUCCAAAGGAUAGGCAGUGCCAGUCUCUGUGAGAACCCUCACCUCGAUUCCCAUGUCCUUCAGGACCUAGGUAAUGCUUAGGCUUCUUGGAUCAUAGGAUUUAGAGCUAAAACACACAUUCAGUAUAGUUUAGUCCAAUAAUUGGGUUUUUUUCUUAUUUUUUAAAACUCUUUCCUUCUGCCUUAGUAUUAAUUCUUAGGCAGAAGUGCAGCAAGAGCUAGGCAGUCGGUGUUAAGUGACUUGCCCAGGGUCACACAGCUGAGAAGUAUCUGAGGCCAAAUUUAUACCUCAGUCCUCUAAACUCCAAGCCUCCAUCAGCUGUGCCACCUAGUGCCUCAUUCAUUUAAGAAUAGGGAAUAGAAAUCUAGAAAAGUGAUGUGAGUUACCCAAAGUUGCAUAGAGAAUAAACAGCAGCUGCACCAAUGAACA
ensembl:lncRNA